GGCUCUGUAGUGAAGUUCAUAGUGAGUUGCAAGCUCAUUGAUGUGCAUUAAACAUGUACCGGAGUCU
rnacentral:tRNA from 2 species